UGAUCCCUGGCUCAGGAUGAACGCUGGCGGCGUGCUUAACACAUGCAAGUCGAACGAUGACCCGGUGCUUGCACCGGUGAUUAGUGGCGAACGGGUGAGUAACACGUGAGUAACCUGCCCUUAACUCUGGGAUAAGCCUGGGAAACUGGGUCUAAUACCGGAUAUGACUCCUCAUCGCAUGGUGGGGGGUGGAAAGCUUUAUUGUGGUUUUGGAUGGACUCGCGGCCUAUCAGCUUGUUGGUGAGGUAAUGGCUCACCAAGGCGACGACGGGUAGCCGGCCUGAGAGGGUGACCGGCCACACUGGGACUGAGACACGGCCCAGACUCCUACGGGAGGCAGCAGUGGGGAAUAUUGCACAAUGGGCGCAAGCCUGAUGCAGCGACGCCGCGUGAGGGAUGACGGCCUUCGGGUUGUAAACCUCUUUCAGUAGGGAAGAAGCGAAAGUGACGGUACCUGCAGAAGAAGCGCCGGC
rnacentral:rRNA from 1 species